GAAACGACUGCUAAGACUGGAUAGGAAACAAAAAGGCAUCUUUUUGUUUUUAAAAGACCUUCUUAUGUAAUUGUAUGCUUAAAGAGGGGCUUGCGCCACAUUAGUUAGUUGGUAGGGUAAAAGCCUACCAAGACGAUGAUGUGUAGCUGGACUGAGAGGUUGAACAGCCACAUUGGGACUGAGACACGGCCCAAACUCCUACGGGAGGCAGCAGUAGGGAAUUUUCGGCAAUGGAGGAAACUCUGACCGAGCAACGCCGCGUGAACGAUGAAGUAUUUCGGUAUGUAAAGUUCUUUUAUUGAAGAAGAAAAAGUAGUGGAAAAACUAUAUUGACGUUAUUCAAUGAAUAAGCCCCGGCUAACUAUGUGCCAGCAGCCGCGGUAAGACAUAGGGGGCGAGCGUUAUCCGGAAUUAUUGGGCGUAAAGGGUGCGUAGGCUGUUAGAUAAGUCUAUAAUUUAAUUUCAGUGCUUAACGCUGUCUUGUUAUAGAAACUGUCUUGACUAGAGUGAGAUAGAGGCAAGCGGAAUUCCAUGUGUAGCGGUAAAAUGUGUAAAUAUUGGAGGAACUCCAGAAGAGUAGGCGGCUUGUUGGGUCUUUAUGACGCUGAGGCACGAAAGCGUGGGUAGCAAACAGGAUUAGAUACCCUGGUAGUCCACGCCGUAAACGAUGAGUACUAAGUGUCGGGGUAAAACUCGGUACUGAAGUUAACACAUUAAGUACUCCGCCUGAGUAGUACGUACGCAAGUAUGAAACUUAAAGGAAUUGACGGGACUCCGCACAAGCGGUGGAUCAUGUUGUUUAAUUCGAAGAUACACGAAAAAUCUUACCAGGUCUUGACAUACUCUGCAAAGCUAUAGAAAUAUAGUGGAGGUUAUCAGGGAUACAGGUGGUGCAUGGUUGUCGUCAGUUCGUGUCGUGAGAUGUUAGGUUAAGUCCUAAAACGAGCGCAACCCUUGUCGUUAAUUGCCAGCACGUAAUGGUGGGGACUUUAGCGAGACUGCCAAUUAAACAUUGGAGGAAGGUGAGGAUUACGUCAAAUCAUCAUGCCCCUUAUGAUCUGGGCUACAAACGUGAUACAAUGGCUGUGACAAAGAGUAGCUGAAACGCGAGUUUUUAGCCAAUCUCAAAAAAGCAGUCUCAGUUCGGAUUGAAGUCUGUAACUCGACUUCAUGAAGUUGGAAUCGCUAGUAAUCGCGAAUCAGCAUGUCGCGGUGAAUACGUUCACGGGGUUUGUACACACCGCCCGUCA
rnacentral:rRNA from 1 species